AAGACAAACAGAAGUAGAGACAAAAGGGAAAUUUUCUUUUUCUUUUUCUUUUUCUUUCUCUCUUUGUCUUUCUUUCUCUAUUUCCAAAG
rnacentral:ribozyme from 13 species